UACGUAGGUGGCAAGCGUUGUCCGGAUUUACUGGGCGUAAAGAGCGCGCAGGCGGUCGUUCAAGUCGCGUGUGAAAGCCCCCGGCUCAACUGGGGAGGGUCACGCGAUACUGAUCGACUCGAAGGCAGGAGAGGGUAGUGGAAUUCCCGGUGUAGUGGUGAAAUGCGUAGAUAUCGGGAGGAACACCAGUGGCGCAAGCGGCUGACUGGCCGAGACCUGACGCUGAGACGCGACGGCGUGGGGAGCAAACAGG
rnacentral:rRNA from 1 species